rnacentral:rRNA from 1 species
GUAGGGAGCAAACGUUGUCCGGAGUUUAUUGGGGCGUAAAGGGCUCGUAGGCGGUUCAACAAGUCGGUCGUGAAAGCCCGGAGCUCAACUCCGGGGACGCCGGGUCGAAACUGGUUGUGACUAGAGUUCGGUAGAGGUGAGUGGAAUUCUCAGUGUAGCGGUGGAAUGCGCAAAUAUUGAGAGGAACACCAUUAGCGAAGGCGGCUCACUGGGCCGAUACUGACGCUGAGGAGCGAAAGCGUGGGGAGCAAACAGGAUUAGAUACCCUGGUAGUCCACGCCGUAAACGAUGAACACUAGGUGUAGCGGACUGGAUUCACGUCUGCUGCGCCGUAGCUAACGCAUUAAGUGUUCCGCCUGGGGAGUACGGCCGCAAGGCUA